rnacentral:rRNA from 1 species
UACGAAGGGGGCUAGCGUUGCUCGGAAUCACUGGGCGUAAAGGGUGCGUAGGCGGGUCUUUAAGUCAGGGGUGAAAUCCUGGAGCUCAACUCCAGAACUGCCUUUGAUACUGAGGAUCUUGAGUUCGGGAGAGGUGAGUGGAACUGCGAGUGUAGAGGUGAAAUUCGUGAGAUAUUCGCAAGAACACCAGUGGCGAAGGCGGCUCACUGGCCCGAUACUGACGCUGAGGCACGGAAAGCGAUGGGGAG